GACGAACGCUGGCGGCGUGCUUAACACAUGCAAGUCGAACGAAGAGCGAUGGAAGCUUGCUUCUAUCAAUCUUAGUGGCGAACGGGUGAGUAACGCGUAAUCAACCUGCCCUUCAGAGGGGGACAACAGUUGGAAACGACUGCUAAUACCGCAUACGAUCUAACCUUGGCAUCGAGGAUGGAUGAAAGGUGGCCUCUAUUUAUAAGCUAUCACUGAAGGAGGGGAUUGCGUCUGAUUAGCUGGUUGGAGGGGUAACGGCCCACCAAGGCGAUGAUCAGUAGCCGGUCUGAGAGGAUGAACGGCCACAUUGGGACUGAGACACGGCCCAGACUCCUACGGGAGGCAGCAGUGGGGAAUCUUCCGCAAUGGACGAAAGUCUGACGGAGCAACGCCGCGUGAGUGAUGACGGCCUUCGGGUUGUAAAGCUCUGUUAAUCGGGACGAAAGGCCUUCUUGCGAAUAGUGAGAAGGAUUGACGGUACCCGGAAUAGAAAAGCC
rnacentral:rRNA from 1 species